rnacentral:misc_RNA from 1 species
GCAGAUACUUUCUUUUUCUACACCGUGUGAUGUUGACACUUCUUAUGUUCAUAAUGUGUGAUAAUUUAAAGACUUGACAAGCCGUUCCUAGCAAAGUGACACGACUCUGCGCACAGAUCUCAGGAUCUUGAGAUCGUUGGGCCAACAUAUCUCAGACUUUAAUCUGGCAUGAGUGUAAAAGGGCACAAAUUAUAUAGAUGCAGUGAUCUUCCUGUAUGUCAGGUUUAGCUCCACUCCACCUUACAUUGACUGCCAGGGCACAUCUACUUGUAAGAACAGUUGUAAAUAUUGAAGAUACAUUAUUUAGAUGUACAGGGUUUGGCUCAAGAGACUUUCCUCCACGGAGCAAACCGUAGCGAGCUAAGACAAACAGAGGCCUCUAAGAAAUCCUUUCCUUGUCUACAGUGUAGCAAAGUGUUUUCUUUUAGUAGGACAAGACAGAGACAUGUGAAAGCUGUACAUGAAAAUUUGGUUCAUAGUUGUGUGUGUGGAAAACAGUACAAUUACCAACAGAGUUAUGCUCGCCACAGAAAGACCUGUCCAGUAGCAUCAGUUCCAACAAACCCCUAUACGAACUUGUCCAUGCUGAAUGCACAACUGUUCCAGAAAAAGUAAUGGCAGCAUGACAACCGAACCUUUCCUUCACUAUCUCUGAGUGUUUGAUUACCGAUUUUCUCAGUUGCUUCAGAGUAUGAAAUAUGGCUGGUUUGGCUUCAUAUUUCCCUCUCCAGGAAAAUCUCCUCCCAGAUUUUGGAACAAACAGUAGCAAUCUUAGACCCACAGAAACAUCUAAACGUUGCUUCCCCUGUCCCAAAUGUACCAAAAUGUUUACCGAUAGCAGUGCUCGCCAGAGACAUGUUAAUGCCAUACACGAGAACCUGGUUUACAACUGUGUUUGUGGACGGAAGUACAAUUAUCAGCAGAGUUACAUUCGCCAUAAGAAGACUUGUUCUUUGUAUCAUGCCUCACUGGCAUCCUGAUCGAUCACUGAGCCAGCGUCAUCAAAUCGCACAUGACUUUUGGAAAAGAGUCCUGUCCCCAACUCUGCUCUGAUCAUCAUAUAUAGUAUCUUUUUGUGUUAUCACAUGGAGCUUUAUCAGCUGUUUGCCAGAGCAAGCAGAAUUUUAUGAAAUUAACUGUCUUUAACUGUAUACAGUGGUUGUAUGGAGAUGUUUAUUCCAAACUUUCAAGUCCGAUGGCAUAUUUGAACAUGAUCAUGUAUAGUGUCAACAACUUGUCGAAUGGAGAUAGACAAAAGCAACUGAAUCUGCGAGAUUCACUUGAAGUGUUUUGUAAAUUACUAGAUUGUCUUCAAGAAGGUAUUGAUCCUUUAUAAUUGUGGAUUAUAAAAGAUGGAUGCAUUUCGAUUGUGUGAUCAGUGGGUUAAAGACUGAGGACAGUGUGUUUAGUCAUGACAUAACUCUUGUAUCCAUCUGGGGAAGUGAGGUUAAACUUUGUCGCAAGUAUAAUCUGCUCAUCGUAAGUGGCAACCAAUGGAUCGAGUGGUCAGACGCCAUGAUUUGGUGUUUGGCAUAUCACCGUAUCGCAAGGACAUGGAUGGUUGUUUUGGCAUAUACUGUCACUUGAUUGUCUGGCCCAGAAUGGAGUAUUUUCAGGCUGAUGUCACAUAGAUGGAAUAUUACUGUGUGUGUCAUUGAACAAAGAAUAACAAAAGUUGGGCAACUGGUCUGUCUGGCUUGUUUGUCCUAAAUAGUAGUUUGCAUGCAAUGCAGCAGACUUUAAACUCAUCUUGUUAUAUUGCUGUAUUGUUAUAUUGAUUUCAUCAGUGAAAGUUACCAAUUCAUAUUCUCAUAAGUGUAUGCUUUGUUUUAAGACACUGGUGACCUUGAAACACAAUCAGAUUUCAGUGAGUCUUGUUCGGUGUGUGUGGAACAUUGUGACCUUGAAACAUUAUCAGUGUGGAUGGAUCGAGGAAACACUGAAGUCUUGACAAGUAAGGUGAAGGCAAGCUUGCUGUCACUGUCAUCUGAUGUGUGCAUUGAAAUUCUUGUGUGACUUAUAGAAUUGUGAUAUUCAUACAAGGAAAGUGAAGUGACACUUAGCAGCCAUGAUCACUAGUGCAUGAUGUCUGCUCGUGCAUUCUCAUCUGUACAAACUUUGAUCACCAUGGAAACUGAUGAAUAUUACUAGGAUGCAACUGUGAACUUUCAUGACCAGAAAUGACCAGUACUAGAACAAUGGGUAAUUCUUCCCAGGAUCACUUUGUCAUGGACUCUUCUGAUCCACCUUUAGCUUUCCCAGAACACAUUGCUGCAGGUAUGUGCUAGGUGGGGAAGACCAUAUUGUUUUCACACGGCUAUGUUCAUGUUUACUGGUUUCACUCAAAACCGUGAUACCAAUUUUGGAAGUACUUGUUAGGAAAGUAGCCAUGUUGAUUCAUGCUCCAUGGACUUGUAACAAACAAUUCAUGAUGAGGGUAGCUGUUACAUGGGAACAGAAUAGAACUCAGGACACAUGGGCUCAGGAAUGGAGGACAUGGUUGAUCAAGAGUGGCUAUAUGCUCGUAUAUUAAUCCCCAUGCAGUGUGUUGUACAUUAUCCUCAAGUGAAUUGUCAGCAAGUAAUGCAUGAUGAAGGCAGCAUUUAGAGAGGAACUAACGUAUAGAAAUCGGAAAGUGCAGUCUCCGGAAUAGAGGACCUGAUCAAACUUGAUCUAGAGUGGCUAUGUGCUUGUAUCUUGUGUGUUGUACAUUGUUUUUGUUUGAAAUAAUCUCUCCUGAUAACGAGAUAGUGGACAAGUACAAUUUUUUCCUGUUUUCAGGUUUGGGCAGAUUUGUUGCCGCUGAGCGAGUGGGUCCACAGCUGGACUUUUUAACACACAGGACUGAACGUAGAGCUCAGAGACGAUCUGACCAAAAGAAAUCUUUCUCUUGCCCUCAGUGCGACAAAUCGUUCACAGCCAGUAGUGCCAGAUUAAGACACAUCCAUGCAAUCCACGACAAGCUGUUGUAUUACUGUAUAUGUGGGAAGGUGUACAAUUACCAGCAGAACUAUCUCCGCCAUAAGAAAACCUGCUUCUUACUCAAAACUGGCAAUACGACUGUUUAGACGAUAAAGUGUCAUGGCUCUUUGUGGAACUAAUUUCUUGUUGUGAUCUCACUAAAACUGGAGUAAAACUCCACUCACUCACUCACUCACACAUGCUGUGAAGCAGAUAUCAGUCAUCAAAAAUGAAUGUAUGUUUUCGUCAGAUGUGUCAUAUUCAGCGAAGAGGAAGGAUAUAUUUUAAAUGAAGGAAAGUCCUGGUACUUUCAAGUUUCUCAUAAUACUGUAAUCUGGGAACCAGCAAAAUCGUGCUCUUUAAUCAUCAGGGCAAUGCUUAUUUCAAAUACUGGAAGGUGAAGAUGUAGUCUAGUGGUUAGGCGUUCGCACGCUGAAGACCCAGGUUCGAUUUCCCCACAUGGGCACAAUGUGUGAAGCGGCCCAUUUCUGGUCUCCCCUGCCGUGAUGUAAAGCUGUGUAAAACUAGACUCACUCACUCACUCAAACUCAAAAAGAAUGAUUGCUCUGAUUCUGUUAAGCACUGAUCCAGAGAUUAAUGUGUUUGAUUGUCAAAUCUGAAUUUUUUGAACAUAUACGUUAUGAUUUGUAAAAUAAUUUAUAAGCCUCUUGGAUGAGUUCAGGAAAGGGCAUUUGGAAACGAUUGCUGUUGAAGAUCGGGGUUAAGGUGUUUGCUCAAUUUGUAGCUGCUUCUAUCCCAUCAAGUGAAACCCAUUCUUUAUGUCCUCCUCUAUUGCAUAAUUCUGGAAUAAUGCUUAAAUUGCUAUAAAACUUGACUUGGUAAAAAAAUAUUACAACCAUCAGUGAAACUUGUGAAAUGUCUAGGAUUGGGGACGGAAUGCAUCCUGUGAAGCUGCAUAUCAUUCUCUUCCCCUGGUACAUCUGUGUUACUUACGUCUGCUUGAAGAGUUAUCCUUGUGAAGGAGAUUUUUUCCUUUUUUAGUGAUCUCUGUUUUGUUUUUUUUGUAUUUGAUGCUUUUGAAGAAUGAUCUACUGAUUGUGAUCACUGACUUUAUUUGAUCUUCAUAGAGGAUGUUCUGUUGAUUGUGAUUUCUGUUUCAUGUAUUUGAUUUUUGUAGAGGACAUGCAUACUUCAACUUGCCGAAUGACUUGAUGUUUCAUUUUGCUGGCUGAACUUGCGAUGGAAAAAAAUGUAACAUUGGGUGACGCUAAUAGGAUGUUGUGUAAUAAAAAAAUGUAUUGACAUAAUAGAAUCUUUAUGUAAAUGACUAUUUUCAAUUAAAUUUUUUUAUCAUUA